UGGGGAAUUUUGGACAAUGGGGGCAACCCUGAUCCAGCAAUGCCGCGUGUGUGAAGAAGGCCUUCGGGUUGUAAAGCACUUUUGUCCGGGAAGAAAUCCCCUGCCCUAAUACGGCGGGGGGAUGACGGUACCGGAAGAAUAAGCACCGGCUAACUACGUGCCAGCAGCCGCGGUAAUACGUAGGGUGCGAGCGUUAAUCGGAAUUACUGGGCGUAAAGCGUGCGCAGGCGGUGAUGUAAGACCGAUGUGAAAUCCCCGGGCUCAACCUGGGGAACUGCAUUGGUGACUGCAUUGCUCGAGUAUGGCAGAGGGGGGUGGAAUUCCACGUGUAGCAGUGAAAUGCGUAGAGAUGUGGAGGAACACCGAUGGCGAAGGCAGCCCCCUGGGCCAAUACUGACGCUCAUGCACGAAAGCGUGGGGAGCAAACAGGAUUAGAUACCCUGGUAGUCCACGCCCUAAACGAUGUCCAACUGGUUGUCGGGCCUUCAUUGGCUUGGUAACGUAGCUAACGCGUGAAGUUGACCGCCU
rnacentral:rRNA from 1 species